rnacentral:rRNA from 1 species
CCAGCUCCAAUAGCGUAUAUUUAAGUUGUUGCAGUUAAAAAGCUCGUAGUUGGAUUUCGGUGGGCUUCUGCCGGUCCGCCACUGGUGAGUACUGGCAGGGGCCUACUUUCUGUCGGGGACGGGCUCUUGUGCUUCACUGCACGGGACUCGGAGUCGACGAGGUUACUUUGAGUAAAUUAGAGUGUUCAAAGCAAGCCUACGCUCUGAAUAUGUUAGCAUGGGAUAACACGAUAGGACUCUGGCCUAUCUUGUUGGUCUGUAGGACCGGAGUAAUGAUUAAGAGGGACAGUCGGGGGCAUUCGUAUUUCAUUGUCAGAGGUGAAAUUCUUGGAUUUAUGAAAGACGAACUUCUGCGAAAGCAUUUGCCAAGGAUGUUUUCA